rnacentral:rRNA from 1 species
CCUAUUAUUCAUAGAAUAUAAAUAAAAUAAAAUUAGUAAUAUAAAUGAAAAAUAAAAAAUUUGGCGGUAUUUUAGUUAAUUUAGAGGAAUCUGUUUUGAAGUUGAUAGACCACGAUAAGUAAUAUUUAAUUUAUUUUAUUUAUAUAUAGUUAUUUAAAAUAUAUUGAAAAUUUAUUUUUAUUAAUAUUAAUAAUUUUUUAAUUUAAAUCAAUAUGUAAUUAAUAAUUAAAAAAGAAUGGAUUAUAAUUUAAUGAAUAAAUAAUUUAAAAAUAUAAAAUUUUUAAGGAAAGAAUUUAAAAGUAAUUUUUAUUUAUUAAUAAAGAUGAGUAAAAUUAAAAAUAUGUACAUAUUGCCCGUCAAUUUUAGUAAUAAAAUAAGUCGUAACAAAGUAAAUGUAUUGGAAAAUGUAUUUAGAAUAA